rnacentral:rRNA from 1 species
GACGAACGCUGGCGGCGUGCUUAACACAUGCAAGUCGAACGGAAAGGCCCUGCUUUUGUGGGGUGCUCGAGUGGCGAACGGGUGAGUAACACGUGAGUAACCUGCCCUUGACUUUGGGAUAACUUCAGGAAACUGGGGCUAAUACCGGAUAGGAGCUCCUGCUGCAUGGUGGGGGUUGGAAAGUUUCGGCGGUUGGGGAUGGACUCGCGGCUUAUCAGCUUGUUGGUGGGGUAGUGGCUUACCAAGGCUUUGACGGGUAGCCGGCCUGAGAGGGUGACCGGGGCCAAUGUGACUCUGAGACGCAGCAGAGGCUAAUGGGAGGCACAGGUGGGGAGUAUAUCGCACAAUGGGCGAGCGUGUGAUGAAGACGCGCCGUGCGGGAUACCGCGGUUUUGGGGGUGAACAACUUUCUCCUGUGAGAAGAAGUGUGUGACGGUAACGGGUGAAAAAGCACCGGCUAACUACGUG